rnacentral:rRNA from 1 species
GACGAACGCUGGCGGCGUGCUUAACACAUGCAAGUCGAACGGAAAGGCCUGCUUUCCCUUGUGGAUUGCGGGUACUCGAGUGGCGAACGGGUGAGUAACACGUGAGUGAUCUGCCCCCAACUUGGGUAUAAGCCUGGGAAAUUGGGUCUAAUUCCCGAUAGGACUGCAGGGUGGUGCCUGUGGUGGAAAACGAUUUUCUAGUGGUUGGGGAUGAGCUCGAGGCCUAUCAGCUUGUUGGUGGGGUAAUGGCCUACCAAGGCGGCGACGGGUAGCCGGCCUGAGAGGGUGGACGGCCACAUUGGGACUGGGAUACGGCCCAGACUCCUACGGGAGGCAGCAGUGGGGAAUAUUGCACAAUGGGCGGAAGCCUGAUGCAGCGACGCCGCGUGGGGGAUGACGGCCUUCGGGUUGUAAACUCCUUUCGACCGCGAGGAAGCCACCUGGUUGGAAGGGUGGUGACGGUAGUGGUAGAAGAAGCACCGGCUAACUACGUG